rnacentral:rRNA from 1 species
GACGAACGCUGGCGGCGUGCCUAAUACAUGCAAGUAGAACGCAGUUGCGAACGGGUGAGUAUCGCGUCGGUAACUGCCCCAUAGCGGGGGAGAACUAUUUGAAACGAUAGCUAAUACCGCCUACUGUGAGCUGGACCUGCGUUGUCUUAGCUAGUUGGUGAGGUAAAGGCCCACCAAGGCGACGAUACAAAGCCGAUCUUAGAGGGUGAACGGCCACACUUGGACUGAGACACGGCCCAGACUCCUACGGGAGGCAGCAGGAGGGAAUCUUCGGCAAUGGACGGAAGUCUGACCGAGCAACGCCGCGUGAGUGAAGACGGCUUUCGGGUUGUAAAGCUCUGUUGGUAGAGAAGCGGUAACUAAACAGAAAGCGACGGCUAACUACGUGCCAGCAGCCGCGGUAAUAC